GCGGACAGAAGGGAGCUUGCUCCCGGAUGUUAGCGGCGGACGGGUGAGUAACACGUGGGUAACCUGCCUGUAAGACUGGGAUAACUCCGGGAAACCGGAGCUAAUACCGGAUAGUUCCUUGAACCGCAUGGUUCAAGGAUGAAAGACGGUUUCGGCUGUCACUUACAGAUGGACCCGCGGCGCAUUAGCUAGUUGGUGAGGUAACGGCUCACCAAGGCGACGAUGCGUAGCCGACCUGAGAGGGUGAUCGGCCACACUGGGACUGAGACACGGCCCAGACUCCUACGGGAGGCAGCAGUAGGGAAUCUUCCGCAAUGGACGAAAGUCUGACGGAGCAACGCCGCGUGAGUGAUGAAGGUUUUCGGAUCGUAAAGCUCUGUUGUUAGGGAAGAACAAGUGCAAGAGUAACUGCUUGCACCUUGACGGUACCUAACCAGAAAGCCACGGCUAACUACGUGCCAGCAGCCGCGGUAAUACGUAGGUGGCAAGCGUUGUCCGGAAUUAUUGGGCGUAAAGGGCUCGCAGGCGGUUUCUUAAGUCUGAUGUGAAAGCCCCCGGCUCAACCGGGGAGGGUCAUUGGAAACUGGGAAACUUGAGUGCAGAAGAGGAGAGUGACUCCACGUGUAGCGGUGAAAUG
rnacentral:rRNA from 1 species